rnacentral:rRNA from 1 species
AAAUGCACAUACUGUGAGCUCGAUGAGUAGGGCGGGACACGUGGUAUCCUGUCUGAAUAUGGGGGGACCAUCCUCCAAGGCUAAAUACUCCUGACUGACCGAUAGUGAACCAGUACCGUGAGGGAAAGGCGAAAAGAACCCCGGCGAGGGGAGUGAAAAAGAACCUGAAACCGUGUACGUACAAGCAGUGGGAGCACGCUUAGGCGUGUGACUGCGUACCUUUUGUAUAAUGGGUCAGCGACUUAUAUUCUGUAGCAAGGUUAACCGAAUAGGGGAGCCGAAGGGAAACCGAGUCUUAACUGGGCGUUAAGUUGCAGGGUAUAGACCCGAAACCCGGUGAUCUAGCCAUGGGCAGGUUGAAGGUUGGGUAACACUAACUGGAGGACCGAACCGACUAAUGUUGAAAAAUUAGCGGAUGACUUGUGGCUGGGGGUGAAAGGCCAAUCAAACCGGGAGAUAGCUGGUUCUCCCCGAAAGCUAUUUAGGUAGCGCCUCGUGAAUUCAUCUCCGGGGGUAGAGCACUGUUUCGGCAAGGGGGUCAUCCCGACUUACCAACCC